GUGGUGUUCAAGAGUUCCGGAGGUUGGUUGGAAAUAAAGCGAAGUUUUUUAUAAUAGAGGUUUGGGACGAGAUUGAUUGACGGAGCGCUAACAUUCUGUUAGUUUCCUUGGACGGUGCAGCGAAUAAAAAUUAAUUAACCUUUUUCCAUAUUAAAAAGAGUAAGUAAACCUACUUGGUGAGCGCAUGGGUUGUGGCAGCGACAACUGACACAUCUGCCCACAUUUAUUAAAAUAAUAAUAAUAAAUAUUUUGUUUAAAUUAUUUUAUUUUAUCAAAAUAAAAAAAUAUAUUUGAUCGGAGGAUGUUAGACGCCACAAUAGGAUAGAAAGUAGAGAAUGACUCCCGCUCUAUGUGAUCAGAGAGCCUAGAUUCCACUUUAAUUACAAUUACAAGGAGGAUAAGAAUGCCCAAAUAU
rnacentral:lncRNA from 1 species